UUUUCAAUAUACAGUUGAAAACAUAUUUCUCAGCUUUCACAAAGCCCACUAUGUAUUACUUACUAUAUGAGUCCCGUUUGUAUAUUCUGAGGAGGUUUUGCGCAUUAUACGAAGCCCGACAGUGUUGUCAAUAUUUACCUAGUACGCAGUUCCUUUCAAUAAAAUAACAAAUAUCCAAAUCUUCAAUAGGGCUGCACUUAUCUGGUUUCUAGAAAAUAUUAUGCACUUUUUUUAACAUAUUUGAGAGUUUACUUAGUGUAGUGUGUUGGUUUGUACUACCAGAAUGGACAGAACUAAAUUUCUCAUAAGUUUAGCUGCUCAAAAUGAAACAGCACAUGUGACAGACGUGGGUGAAGUUACUCAUUUACCUAAACGUCAAAGGUCUACAUACUCCAGACCACCUUCUUCAGAAUCAAGAAGUAGCACAAGCAGUUUUCAAGAUUUUGCGAGCUCUGGUAGUGAAUAUGUACCUCCUGAUAAACAUCCAACUACUAAUUUUAAUUGGUC